rnacentral:rRNA from 1 species
UGGGGAAUAUUGGACAAUGGGCGCAAGCCUGAUCCAGCAAUGCCGCGUGUGUGAAGAAGGCCUUCGGGUUGUAAAGCACUUUUAUCAGGAACGAAAAGCGACGGAUUAAUACUCUGUCGUGCUGACGGUACCUGAGGAAUAAGCACCGGCUAACUUCGUGCCAGCAGCCGCGGUAAUACGAAGGGUGCAAGCGUUAAUCGGAAUUACUGGGCGUAAAGCGUGCGUAGAUGGUUCAUUAAGUCGGAUGUGAAAGCCCCGGGCUCAACCUGGGAACUGCAUCUGAUACUGGCGGACUAGAGUGUGGUAGAGGAUGGCGGAAUUCCCGGUGUAGCGGUGAAAUGCGUAGAGAUCGGGAGGAACAUCCGUGGCGAAGGCGGCCAUCUGGACCAACACUGACGUUGAGGCACGAAAGCGUGGGGAGCAAACAGG